GACGAGCGCUGGCGGCGUGCUUAACACAUGCAAGUCGAACGGAAAGGCCCUGCUUUUGUGGGGUGCUCGAGUGGCGAACGGGUGAGUAACACGUGAGUAACCUGCCCUUGACUUUGGGAUAACUUCAGGAAACUGGGGCUAAUACCGGAUAGGAGCUCCUGCUGCAUGGUGGGGGUUGGAAAGUUUCGGCGGGUGGGGAUGGACUCGCGGCUUAUCAGCUUGUUGGUGGGGUAGUGGCUUACCAAGGCUUUGACGGGUAGCCGGCCUGAGAGGGUGACCGGCCACAUUGGGACUGAGAUGCGGCCGAGACUCCUACGGGAGGCAGCAGUGCGGAAUAUUGCACCAUGGGCGGAAGCCUGAUGCAGCAACGCCGCGUGCUGGAUAGCGGCCUUCGGGUUGUAGACCGCUUUCGCCUGUGACGAAGCGUGAGCGACGGUAAUGGGUAGAGUAGCAACGGCUAACUACGUU
rnacentral:rRNA from 1 species